rnacentral:rRNA from 1 species
GACGAACGCUGGCGGCGUGCUUAACACAUGCAAGUCGAACGCUGAAGACCUGGCUUUUGUUGGGUUGGAUGAGUGGCGAACGGGUGAGUAACACGUGAGUAACCUGCCCUCUUCUUUGGGAUAACGCCCGGAAACGGGUGCUAAUACUGGAUAUUCACUGAUCUUCGCAUGGGGGUUGGUGGAAAGGUUUGUUCUGGUGGGGGAUGGGCUCGCGGCCUAUCAGCUUGUUGGUGGGGUGAUGGCCUACCAAGGCUUUGACGGGUAGCCGGCCUGAGAGGGUGACCGGUCACAUUGGGACUGAGAUACGGCCCAGACUCCUACGGGAGGCAGCAGUGGGGAAUAGUGCACAAUGGGCGAAAGCCUGAUGCAGCGACGCCGCGUGAGGGAUGGAGGCCUUCGGGGUGUAAACCUCUUUCGCUCAUGGUCAAGCCGCAACUGUGGGUUGUGGUGAGGGUAGUGGGUAAAGAAGCGCCGGCUAACUACGUG